rnacentral:misc_RNA from 1 species
UGAUUGAGCUCUCCUAGGUCAACAUUAGGCAGAGUCAGAGUCAGAAGAAUCAAGACACCUCCUACAAUAACAGGGCCAUAUAACAUGUGUCAGUAGACAUUGUCGAAAACCACUACUCUGGAGUCUCGCUCGGGAGAACCUCUUGCAAUCUUUAGCGGCGUCUGAACAUUUAACCAUCUUGUCUCUCUCAGCUUCGGAGAGAAAGGAUGCAAACUCAGCCAGCUUCUUGGGAUACUGCUGUUGGUAAAGUGAUCCCGAAAUAGCGUCUCCAACAGCUGUUCCAACCGAAAUCGAAGAAUCGAAAAUGACAGUGGCAGACCUGCCUAUGAAACAACACUGACUGAAUCAUGACCAAAACGGGAAACUGAAGCGUCCCCAAACCCUUGAUUACCUGUGCUACAAUGAACUGCGCAAGCGAGUGGUAGGGCUGUUUGUACCGGUAGGUGAGACCUAGACCCAGCAUGUAGAGGCGUCCACCGACUACAAUGAUGGGUUUGAAUCUGUUGGAGUACAGUACAUACUUGAUGAUCAGGGCAACAAUGAGCGAUCCGGCCGUGUAUCCCACAACCCACACAGAAGUGACGUUUGUAGCUGCUGUGACAGACAGACCCUUGCAGACCAGCAGCCAGGCGUAGUAAUAUGGAGAGUAAAUGUAGUAGGCCAGUGAAUAGAGCGCUAC